rnacentral:lncRNA from 1 species
UGCAAGGAACCAGGCCACUACAAAAAUGAAUAUCUUAAGCUGAAAAAGGACAAAAGGCCUAAGAAGAGUUUUUCUAAAGGUAAGAAGGGGUUGAUGGCUACGUGGGAUGACUCAGAAUUCGAAGAAGAAGACUCUAUCAAAGAAUAAGCCAACAUUGCAUUGAUGGGGACUUGUAAGACCCCAAAUUUGACUCUAAGAUCCCUCAUGCUAUCUCAUCAUUUGCGUUGACUUUGGGAUCACACCUUGGUAUCCUCC